AUGAACGCUGGCGGCGUGCCUAAUACAUGCAAGUCGAGCGAACGGACGAGAAGCUUGCUUCUCUGAUGUUAGCGGCGGACGGGUGAGUAACACGUGGAUAACCUACCUAUAAGACUGGGAUAACUUCGGGAAACCGGCGCUAAUACCGGAUAAUAUUUUGAACCUCAUGGUUCAAAAGUGAAAGACGGUCUUGCUGUCACUUAUAGAUGGAUCCGCGCUGCAUUAGCUAGUUGGUAAGGUAACGGCUUACCAAGGCAACGAUGCAUAGCCGACCUGAGAGGGUGAUCGGCCACACUGGAACUGAGACACGGUCCAGACUCCUACGGGAGGCAGCAGUAGGGAAUCUUCCGCAAUGGGCGAAAGCCUGACGGAGCAACGCCGCGUGAGUGAUGAAGGUCUUCGGAUCGUAAAACUCUGUUAUUAGGGAAGAACAUAUGUGUAAGUAACUGUGCACAUCUUGACGGUACCUAAUCAGAAAGCCACGGCUAACUACGUG
rnacentral:rRNA from 1 species